CUAAAUACACAUUAUCUGAGGAGGGGCUAGACAAAAAAUCGAAAAAAGACCCUUACACUAAAAAACGACGCUCUCAUCUUCUCAAAAGAGAAAAAAAACAAAAAAUUCUAGGAGCUAUCACCCCCAAUUCUCUGAAAAUAACAGACCCCUCCUCCUUCCUCUUCUUAUCUCACUAGCACACACACACGUAGAUAGCGAAAAGGGGAGAUCCAAAUCUGAAAAAAAAAACUAAAAAAAAAAAACGAAAAGAAGAAGGAAGACAAUAAGAUCUUGAAUCCAUUUUGUACUCAAAUAUAGUUCAAAAUUGAAGUUGAACUUUCUGGGUUUGAGUUGAAUUUGAAAGCUGUUGUUCCUGUUGUAGAGAAUCGAGAGGUAAGCAACUUCUUUUUUCCACUCUCGCUGAAUCAUCGACCUUCAAAUAUAUAGCAUAAAGAUUUUUCUUUUUCUGCGCACUGAUUAAUCACGCCAAUUCUAUUUUUUAUUUGAUGAGUAAUUUUUAAAUGAAUCGAGUUGCGUUGCAUUGUGUAGCAUUCGUAGAGGCACAGAAUUUUUCGCACAAUGAAUAAAUUAAUCGUUUUGAGCAAAGUGUUGGUGUUUAAAAUUCCGAAGAAUGUUUGUUGCUCAUUUAUCCUCGUUGAUUGAAUUUUUCUUUUGUGAAAGUGUAUGCACAAUAGCAUUGAUCGUCAAUUUUGAUAAGAAUACUGUUGCGGUUUGCUUGGUUAUUUUAAGUUUAAAUUAUUAUUUUUUAGUUUGAAAUUAGGUACUGUAAAUGAAAUUUUCGCAUUUUUUUUUUGUCUUAUGCAAAUCUCACUCAUAAUUUUGGACUAAAUUGGAGGCUAGCAGUCUUUGUUGUGCAAAGAUGCUUCAUGACACAAUAAAAAUGGUACAACCAUCAGUUUUGAGAAAUGGUGAUUUGGUUAUAUGAAAACAAUUGUUUAAGAAUCGGUGUUCGUGUUUAUAAAAUGUUUGGAGUAGCAGUUAAAGCUUCAUGUAUAUGUGGUGUUUAAUUUUCAAUAUCUAUUAGUUAAUUUUUUAUUUCAAUUGUUAUGUACAUAUGGUGUCUGAUUUCCUUCCAACAAUCUCAACUUAGAAAGAAAUAAUCUAUGAAUGUCCGUAGUUUGCUUUAGUUGAGUUAAAAUCCUUUGAACUAAUUUAAGGGGUGCCAUGCCAAAUAAAACCUCAAAACCCAGGGCCCUCACUUAACAUUUUUAUCCUUAGACAUCGAGGCGCGCCAUUUAGUUGAAUUUUUCAUGGCCAUCGCAAAGUUAAAAGUGCGUAGUUGCUUUAGGCGCGCUAUUUAAAACUACCUUCCUAAAAUCGGGUGUGCAUUUCAUGUGACCCAAAUCCAAAUACGAACAACGUUAAAUAAAAUAUGUCGCAGAUCGCGGGUGCAUUUCAUGUGGCGUGACACGUUUUAGAUGACGUUGAAAACUUCCUUUAAAAUAAUUAAAGCGGUUUAAAGUUAAAAUGCACAUAAGCUUAAAAGUGUUUUAAAAUCAAAUAAUAGGCCAAUUUUAACAGUUGAGCGACCAUGCUAAAACCACAAAAUCCGAGAAUGUCUAACACCUUCUCCCGGGUUAAUAGAAUUCCUUACCCGGAUUUUUGGUUCGCGGACUGUAAUACAGAGGCAAUUUUUUCCUCGAUUCGGGAUUUGAACCGGUGACUUGGGACACCAUAAAUUAUCCCAAGUGGCGACUCUGAAUUUUUAAUAAAUAAAUAAUCUCGUUUCGAUUGUCACUUAAAUUGGAAAAACUCCCUUAUAUACUCCCUUCCGGGGGUGUAGGUAAAAAGGAGGUGUGACAGCUCUGUCGACUCUACUGGGGAUCAAACCCAGAAUCUCUGGUUCUGGGUUCAAGAAUUCGAGCUUGGAAUAAUUAUUAUAUUUGGCUUUAUUUAUUAUCUGGUUUUAUUACAUGUUUGGGUCUAAUGUGCUAAAUAUUUCUUUUUACCGCUUUGAUAUUAUUUGGACUGUAUAUAAAUUGUUACUAAACCCUCCUCUCUCUGAGUCUUCUAAAUCAUCCAGGAAGUGUGCACUUCGUGUGACUUCUUUUCUGUUAGAGUUAUAUCCCAAUUUUAGAAUGAGGUUCGGACAAGUUGCAAAGUCGGUAAGCUUUUGUAUUCCCGGUAUGCUACCCCCCUCGGCUCGAGCUGUUCGAUUGGGUAAGCCAGGUCUAGAACAAAUAAACUCAGGUUUUUAAACCUAGAAUAACAUAGUCUCAUGCCGGAUCCCUAGUAAGAACACUUGUUUACAUCACGUGCAUCUGACUUUGGGGACUCAACACAGGGGUUGGGUCCGUUUAGGACAGGUGUACCCAAAAUAACAGACUAUCUUGAUGCAUUUUAUGUGCUACAUGUUGCAUUUCUUCAAGGGUAAAAGGGUCAUUUGGCGGAUCAAUGAUAGUUGAGGACAAAUGGAAAAAUUAAAAAAUGAGAAAGAAAAGAGGUUGAAGUAUAAAAAUAAAGUAAGUGGGGCCCAGUUGUAAUUUUCUUGCACACCUUUUAAAAAAAAAGAGUUUGCAUUUUCUCCGUCAUAUUUUUUAAAAAGAAAUGGAAAAAAAAGAAAAUCCAAAAAGAUUUUUAGAUGUUUCAUCAUUUUUUUUUCAAAACAAAAGACAAAAAAAUAUUUUUUUUCUUCUCUGAAUUUAGUUGUUAUUUUUAUUUCUCGCCCGUAUCCAAUUUGUCCGAACUACGCAUACCUGGUUCUUGUCUUUCAGGGCGUGAUACGUAGGCAACCCACAUAGGGUCCGGUCUUCCUAGUAAAUCUUAGGGUCUUGGCUUUGCGUGAUCUUAGCCAAAUUUUGCACUUCUAGCCACUUUUUGGCUAAAUAAGUCAUUUUGCAAAAAUAGCCUCAAUCAUGUCUUGCAUGUGUCCAGUAGCGAGUGUUAUUGUCUCACAUAGUGAUUUAAAGUUUUCUCAUACAGGUGUGGAUCUACUUACCGGAGUUUGAGCAUGACAGACAUCCCAAGACCAUCCAGUCAGGAUCAUUCAGGAGUUGCUUAAGGGAAUUUUUCUUUUUGUGCUUUGAGUCUGUUUUUCUUUUUAUGUUUUCUUUUACCUUCUAGUUUUGUACAGUAAUGUCGAGUUUUUUGUUAUUGUAAUUACUAUUUUCGUAUUGAAAAAGUGUGUUAUAAAUCAAAGAACCAAGAAGAAAUUUUGUGUUUUCACAUUUCC
rnacentral:lncRNA from 1 species